AUGAACGCUGGCGGCGUGCCUCAUACAUGCCAGUCGAGCGCACAGACGAGGAGCUUGCUCCUCUGACGUUAGCGGCGGACGGGUGAGUAACACGUGGAUAACCUACCUAUAAGACUGGGAUAACUUCGGGAAACCGGAGCUAAUACCGGAUAAUAUAUUGAACCGCAUGGUUCAAUAGUGAAAGACGGUUUUGCUGUCACUUAUAGAUGGAUCCGCGCCGCAUUAGCUAGUUGGUAAGGUAACGGCUUACCAAGGCAACGAUGCGUAGCCGACCUGAGAGGGUGAUCGGCCACACUGGAACUGAGACACGGUCCAGACUCCUACGGGAGGCAGCAGUAGGGAAUCUUCCGCAAUGGGCGAAAGCCUGCCGGAGCAACGCCGCGUGAGUGAUGAAGGUCUUCGGAUCGUAAAACUCUGUUAUUAGGGAAGAACAAAUGUGUAAGUAACUAUGCACGUCUUGACGGUACCUAAUCAGAAAGCCACGGCUAACUACGUG
rnacentral:rRNA from 1 species